rnacentral:rRNA from 1 species
UACGUAGGGUGCAAGCGUUGUCCGGAAUCAUUGGGCGUAAAGGGCGCGUAGGUGGCUUCUUAAGCGUGCGGUGAAAGCCUGGGGCUCAACCCCGGGUCGGCCGUGCGAACUGGGGGGCUGGAGCACUGUAGAGGCAGGCGGAAUUCCGGGUGUAGCGGUGGAAUGCGUAGAGAUCCGGAAGAACACCGGUGGCGAAGGCGGCCUGCUGGGCAGUUGCUGACACUGAGGCGCGACAGCGUGGGGAGCAAACAGG